rnacentral:lncRNA from 1 species
UAUAUCAUCUCUAUACAACUACAACUUUAUCUUCUUCAUUUUAUUAUGUUUCAGAAUUAGUACUAUAUCAUUUCAUUCAGAAGACUGUCCACCCUGACUACAAAUUUGCUUCUCUGAGAGGAUGUAUAUCCAGUAUAAGUUGGUAUUAUAACAUCUAUUAAAACAAUGCUAUGGGUUAAUAGAAACAGCCAAGAACCAAAGAAUUAAAAUACAAGGUAUGUAAAAGACCAACUAAAACCCAAAAGUAUCCAGUGUAUUCAUUCAUUAGCUAACUAAAAGCCCAAAAAAGAUAAGACACCCA